AUGCAAGUCGAGCGGGGGAGGGUAGCUUGCUACUGGACCUAGCGGCGGACGGGUGAGUAAUGCUUAGGAAUCUGCCUAUUAGUGGGGGACAACAUCUCGAAAGGGAUGCUAAUACCGCAUACGUCCUACGGGAGAAAGCAGGGGAUCUUCGGACCUUGCGCUAAUAGAUGAGCCUAAGUCGGAUUAGCUAGUUGGUGGGGUAAAGGCCUACCAAGGCGACGAUCUGUAGCGGGUCUGAGAGGAUGAUCCGCCACACUGGGACUGAGACACGGCCCAGACUCCUACGGGAGGCAGCAGUGGGGAAUAUUGGACAAUGGGGGGAACCCUGAUCCAGCCAUGCCGCGUGUGUGAAGAAGGCCUUAUGGUUGUAAAGCACUUUAAGCGAGGAGGAGGCUACUUUAGUUAAUACCUAGAGAUAGUGGACGUUACUCGCAGAAUAAGCACCGGCUAACUCUGUGCCAGCAGCCGCGGUAGUACAGAGGGUGCGAGCGUUAAUCGGAUUUACUGGGCGUAAAGCGUGCGUAGGCGGCUUAUUAAGUCGGAUGUGAAAU
rnacentral:rRNA from 1 species